GGACUUCUUGAUGAGCAUCUAUGGUAUAGGAUUAAAGAGUACGGAAUGCAUUCGACUUUUGACACUUCGCCAUGUUGCCUUUCCAGUUGACACGAAUGUUGGUCGAGUAGCAGUUCGAUUAGGAUGGGUCCCUCUGAAACCACUCCCAGAAGGACUUCAACUGCAUCUUCUAGAAACGUACCCUCCGGUGAAUAGCAUUCAGACAUAUCUAUAUCCUCGACUGUGCAACCUUGAUCAACAAACAUUGUA